AAAGUUUGACCUCAAAUCAGGUAGGAAUACCCGCUGAACUUAAGCAUAUCAAUAAGCGGAGGAAAAGAAACCAACCGGGAUUGCCUUAGUAACGGCGAGUGAAGCGGCAAAAGCUCAAAUUUGAAAUCUAGUACCUUCGGUGCUCGAGUUGUAAUUUGUAGAGGGAUACUUUGGGACCGUUCCUUGUCUAUGUUCCUUGGAACAGGACGUCAUAGAGGGUGAGAAUCCCGUGUGGCGAGGAGUGCGGUUCUUUGUAAAGUUCUCUCGAAGAGUCGAGUUGUUUGGGAAUGCAGCUCUAAGUGGGUGGUAAAUUCCAUCUAAAGCUAAAUAUUGGCGAGAGACCGAUAGCGAACAAGUACAGUGAUGGAAAGAUGAAAAGAACUUUGAAAAGAGAGUGAAAAAGUACGUGAAAUUGUUGAAAGGGAAGGGCAUUUGAUCAGACAUGGUGUUUUGCGCCCUCUGCUCCUUGUGGGUAGGGGAAUCUCGCAGCUCACUGGGCCAACAUCAGUUUUGGUGGCAGGAUAAAUCCAUAGGAAUGUAGCUUGCUUGCAAGUAUUAUAGCCUGUGGGAAUACUGCCAACUGGGACUGAGGACUGCGACUUUGUCAAGGAUGUUGGCAUAAUGGUUAAAUGCCGCCCGUCUUGAAACACGGACCAAGGAGUCUAACGUCUAUGCGAGUGUUUGGGUGUAAAA
rnacentral:rRNA from 1 species